GACGAACGCUGGCGGCGUGCUUAACACAUGCAAGUCGAACGGAAAGGCCCUGCUUUUGUGGGGUGCUCGAGUGGCGAACGGGUGAGUAACACGUGAGUAACCUGCCCUUGACUUUGGGAUAACUUCAGGAAACUGGGGCUAAUACCGGAUAGGAGCUCCUGCUGCAUGGUGGGGGUUGGAAAGUUUCGGCGGUGGGGGAUGGACUCGCGGCUUAUCAGCUUGUUGGUGGGGUAGUGGCUUACCAAGGCUUUGACGGGUAGCCGGCCUGAGAGGGUGACCGGCCACAUUGGGACUGAGAUACGGCCCAGACUCAUACGGGAGGCAGCAGUGCGGAAUAUUGCACAAUGGGCGGAAGCCUGAUGCAGCAACGCCGCGUGCGGGAUGACGGCCUUCGGGUUGUAAAACGCAUUCGCCUGUGACGAAGCGUGAGUGACGGUAAUGGGUAAAGAAGCACCGGCUAACUACGUG
rnacentral:rRNA from 1 species